UUUUUGGAAGAAUUGAUUGGCAAAACAAGUAAAGCAUUUCCCACUGCUAGGAAUUUAGUGAGGCCAGCAGACUCUGCAAUUGGAGUUGGCCACAUCUCAACAACUAAAGGCAUGCAGGGAGCAGCUUCUUACAAGAGAAGCGGAAAUCGCGGAGCUGAAAGCCGAAAGGAACAACACCAGGCUGCUGCUGGAACACCUGGAGAUCCUGGUUUCCCGGUAUGUGCCAUCCCUCGGGAUGACGGCAGGCCCGCAGCAGGCGCAGUCCCCAGCCAGCAUGACCAGCGAGGUGGAGCUGCUCAGGGCGCUGAGAUUGCUCUUUGAGCACCACAAGGCCCUGGACGAGAAGUUGAGAGAGCAACUGCGACAUGCUCUCGAAAGGUGUAGUUCCUUAGAAGAGGAAUUAAGGACCGCACACA